CCUCAUGAUCUCAAACCCUUCUGUAAGGAAAAGCUACACACACUGUCUAAGGAAGAAAUCUUGUCAAACACGCACAAGCCAACAAUGCUGUAGGAAACAGGGUUUACGAUAUACUCUGUUUUCUUCUGCCUCUCCAAGAGCUGACCUGUUCCCAAGCUCUGGGGAUGGGCAGAUUAUACUAGGCCUGGCACCAGGCAAGAGCACAAAGGCAGAAAGCUGGACACCACUGCUGAGGAAGGGAAAGAAAACAACGCAUCUCCGCAGAGCAAUAAAACAGAACACAGGAUACGCCCCUCCACGGUAAUUGCAUUUCUGCAGACUUGAUGAAAAUCAGAAGCUGGGUGGACAGGGACCCAAUUGAGUGUUAUCAGUGAGGGAAACGCAGGCAGGACUCAAGCGCCGUGUGUUCUGCACAGCGAGCAGCAGAUCGCCCGCUACGCCACCUCCUGCAGGACAGAACGACCACACGGGACCUGCAGAAAUGACUUGAGCACCCAUGAAACCACUUUUAUGGAACAACGUGGUUUUGUCAGCCAAUUGCAGCAUCCAUGAGCUCUUUGUGGGCAGCUGUGGCAGAGGCUUUCUCCCUAGGUUUACAAGUUCACUUCCCCCCACAGCCUAAGCAUUUAUUCCAUCAUGAGAACUGCAUCUUCAAAAGCAGCAGCAAAUAGCUACAGAUCUCAAAACUAUAAAACGCUGCUUGACCGAGGCCACACAGCCAGCCAACUUGUACAAGGAACCCAUGAAUCCUCCUUAUCUCUGCUAGCGACCUGGUUUACUCCUUCCCCACCAACUGAAACACCAGCUGCAUGUCCCUUUGUGCCAUGCUGAGAAAUAGAUCACUGCAUCCACCUGCAGAUGAAAGAAAAGGUGGAAUGCAGGGAUGUGAGCAGUGCUUCUCUAGAAACAGCAGCAUCAGUGCUGCUCUCCCACCUCAGCACCAUCAAAGCAGCUCCAAACAAGCUGCCAUAGCUGGGGGCGGUGACAGCACUUCGGAACCAGAGGGAAUGGCAGGAAGAUGCGCCGGGGAAAGUCGGGUUGGACAUUAGGAGAAGGUUCUUCAUGCAGAGGGUGCUGGACACUGAACAGGCUCCCCAGGGAGGUGUCACGGCCCCAACCUGACAGUGUUCAAGAAGAGACUGGACAACGUCCUCAGACACACGGUGUGAGCUGUGGGGUGUCCUAUGCAGGGACAGGAGUUGGACUCGAUGAUCCUUGUGGGUCCCUUCUAAGCUGGGACAUUCUAUCAUUCUAUUUAACUGCAGCAAGAAGCAGCUCUGGGUGCUGCGGCCAGGAGAUUUGCGCUGAGGCUUUGCCCCUCCUGCACCACCGGUACUGAAGCCUCUUUAACUCACUUGUUAAUUGGGAGGAAUUUAAACCUGUGGCAGUCCUCAGUAAACCCUGGGCCGAAUCCUCCCGAGUGCUGUGUCCUGCUGAGCGGCUGCAUUUGCCCUGGAGCUUCCUGGCUCCCAGCGCUUCAGCCCUGCAGACGGCAGGAGCCCUUCCCCGACACCCAAAAAACCCAAAAAUUAAAAACCCCACAACAACCACCUUCUCCUCCGCGAUUUACACAGGGGACGUGGGGACAGACACCCCUUUCCCCCGGCCCGGUUGCUACGUGUUCCCCAAGCGCCGAAUUCCCCCCGGGCCCCGCAGGCAUCGCCUGCCCGCUGCUGCCCCCUGCUGGAGCCGCUCGGCCCCGCCCGGACCCCCCCAGCAUAUCCCGCCCCCCCGUGGGGAGCCAGGGCCGUGUCCCCUAAAAUGUACAGAAGGAGGGGGUGCAGGCUGCCGGGGGAUUUUUUUUCUAGUCAAAAUAAAACGUUUAUGUGCUGGUCGAGAAGCCUCCAGAGUCUCCUGCCGAUGCUGUGGUGUGUGCGGCAUCAGCGCCGGUGUAAAACGAAUAACGCGUGACAAUGAAUCGCGGCGGCGCAGGGUGUUGGGACAGCCAGAUUAGCGCAUUCCUGUCCGGGGUUAUCUCCCUAUGAUGCCAGCGAACGGCGGCACAAGUGGUGAGGAGAAAGGGCUGCUGGCAGCUGUCAGGCAAAUGUGAUUCCAGGGAUGCUUCUGAGUGACCGGAUGAGUUGUGGAGGUUUUAUACCCAACUUCGAGAUAGCCCAGACGGACUUGUGACAGUGACAAGGCAGCUGGCCACAGAGACAGCCUUCCUGCUCCAGCUGGACAGCCUCACGUGUCUCUGCAGAACAUGACAGUUGCACAAGAUCACAGUCAUGGAAUCACAGGAUGGUUUGUGUUGAAGGGACCUUCCCAGCUCCCCAGUGCCACACCUGCCAUGACAGGGACAUCUUCACCAGCUCAGGUCGCUCAGAGCCCCGUCCAGCCUGGCCUGGGAUGUCUCAUCCAGCACCUCUCUGGGCAACCUGGGCACCCUCAGUGUCCAAAAAUUCUUCCUCCUGUCCAGCCUGAACCUCCCCUUCUUCAGCUUAAAACUGUUACCCCUUGUCAUGUAGUAACAGAAGCUUUUGUCGGUGUAAAGCUCAGCUCUGAACAC